rnacentral:rRNA from 1 species
UACGUAGGGUGCGAGCGUUGUCCGGAAUUACUGGGCGUAAAGAGCUCGUAGGUGGUUUGUCGCGUUGUCCGUGAAAUUCCCUGGCUUAACUGGGGCGUGCGGGCGAUACGGGCAGACUGGAGUACUGGCAGGGGAGACUGGAAUUCCGUGGGUGUAGCGGUGGAAUGCGCAGAUAUCAGGAGGGAACACCCGAGUCGGCGAAGGCAGGUCUCUGGGCCGACUACUGACGCUGGAGAA